GACAGAGGGUGCAAACGUUGUUCGGAUUCACUGGGCGUAAAGGGUGCGUAGGUGGCGUGGUAAGUUUGAUGUGAAAGCUCAGGGCUUAACCCUGAAAUGGCAUUGAAUACUACUGUGCUGGAGGUUUGGAGGGGGGACUGGAAUUCUUGGUGUAGCAGUGAAAUGCGUAGAUAUCAAGAGGAACACCAGUGGCGAAGGCGAGUCCCUGGACAACACCUGACACUGAGGCACGAAAGCUAGGGGAGCAAACAGG
rnacentral:rRNA from 1 species